CCCCUCUGCUGCAGGUCUGCUGGAGUUUGCUGGAGGUCCACUCCAGACCCUGUUUGUCUGUGUAUCACCAGCGGAGACUGCAGAACAGCAAAGGUUGCUGCCUGCUCCUUCCUCUGAAAGCUUCAUCCCAGAGGUACAACUAAGACCUCUGGAUAUUAUAAAACAAACAGAGCUAACCCACCUCAGAAGAAUGUCUAACAGAAUUUCUCUAAUCAGAAAGGCAACGAUAAAAGAAGACACCUUGGACCAUCAGGAAGAAAGAGCAUGGGACGCUUGUCAUUACAUUGAGCCCAGCUGAAUAAUCUACGCUGAGCUGCCCAUCUCAAGAUUCUUAGUUUAACCAUAUCCACAAAGUUCCUUUUGCCAUGUAAGGUAACAUAUCUAAAGAUUCUAGAGAUUAAGAUGUGGACAUAUUUGAGGGGGCAUUAUUCUGCUUAUCACACCAGCAUUACAUGUUUGGAGCUAAACUGUGAAGAGUUGGUGUGUAUAAGAGGCCGGAAACACAAAUCCUUCAAAACACAUCUCAGGAUUAUAGUUUAGCUAAAAUUACAACACAUUAUGCAGUAACAUUCCUGCAUAUCUUGACUUGGGGAUGUAAUUCAAGGAAUUGAAGCCUUUGCCCUGGCAGAGCAUCAAGGUCAUGGGAUGCCAAGCACUGGUGAGGACUGGAGAUCACAAGAACCAUCUUCAUUGCUGGUGGAGUGGGAAUCAAUUCAUUUGGAGACACAAGUUGGCAAUUAAAAAAAGUGUGAAGAUGCAUAUUUUAGCCUGCUCCAGCCGCCAUAGCAGAAUACCAUAGGCUGGGUGUCUCAAACAACAGAAAAUAUUUUUUUCAUAGUUAAAUAGUUAAUUUCUAGAGGUUGGAAGUUGAAGAUCAAGGUUCCAGUGGGGUUUGGUUUCUGGUGAGGGCCUUCUUUCUGGCUUGGAAGUGGCCAUUUUGUCCUUAUAUGGCCUUUUUUCUGAGUGUACUCAGAGAGAGAGAACAUGCAUGGUAUCUGAUGUCUUCUCUUAUAAAGACACUAGUCUUUGGUAGGGUUCCACUGUUAUGACCAAAUCAUUUUAUCUUAAUUACCUCCUUACAGGUUCUAUCUCCAAAUACAGUCAUGUUGGGGGUUAAGGAUUCAAUAUAUGACAUGAAGGGGAACACAUAAUUUGGUCCACAGCAAUCCACAUACACUAAGACCCAGAAGUUCUAGAAACAUUUCCUAGAGAAAUUCUUGUGCACGUACACAAAGAGAUGUGUAGAAAGAAUAUUCACUGUUGCAUUAUUUAUAAUAGCAACAUGAAAAAAAUUUAGAUAACCACCAUUAGGAAAUGGAGAAAGAAAUUGUAAAAUCAUCAAACAAUAAAGUAAUACACAGUAGUUAAAAGAGCAAACAAGAACCACAUAUUGUGGCUCUGUCAGCAUGAAUAAAUCUUAGAAAUAAAAUUUGAGUAUGAAAAUCAAACUACAGAAAGUAUACACAGAACAUGAUACCAUUAAAGUGAGAAAGUAACUAAGCAGUAGGUCUUAGUUUCUUAUGGAUAUACUCAUAUGAAUGAAACAUAUGUUAAAAAUAUGACAAUAUGGAUGGAAAGGAUGAACCUCAAUUCAGGCUAGUGGCUGAUUUAGAGAAGGAGGAAGGGCAGUAACAGGAUAGGUGACUUUAAUUUUGUCUGUAAUAUUUUAUUCUCAAGUUAAAAGGAUCUGAGGUAAAUAUGGCAAAGUAAUAACAUCUACUAAAGGGAUAGUGGGUACAUGGUAAUUUGAUAUAUAAUUUCUGUUCCUUGUGUUUGCAGUUUUCAUAAUGAACACCAAAUAAGCAAACAAAUGUUUAAAAGGCAAAAUGUCCCUGAGAGUUAGAGAGAUCUAGGUCCCAACUGAGUUCCCAUUAUUCACUAGAUAUAGGUCCUUGGGCAAGUUACCUAACCUCCUUAAGUUGCUCCUAUUUAUGUAUUUUCAUCUAUACCUACCUCUUGGGAAUAUUGUGAAAUUCAACAGCGCUCAUGUAAAGCAUGUGGCACCCAGCAUACAAAACAAUGCUAGUUCCCUUUCUUACAUCAAGUACUGUUUAGUAACAUUGAUUUAAACUCCAUGUCUUUGUCUAAACUAAAAGAAAGCUCUGAGUGGUUGUAAUGAGACAGAAUAAUUUUCCUGUUUCCCUUAUUGUGACCUUUCUUUCUUUUUUUUUUAACCCCUACCUUGUCUCAGGUAUUUAAAUGUGUGUGUGCAUGCACAAACACAUAAGCAGUACUUCACAAGUGCUUUAGAGCAGAGGCUAAACUUUUGGAGGUUGGGAAAAUGGUCUCUUUAAUGUCAUGUAAGUGUGAAGCAUCUUUUCACUUACAGGCUUAAAAGAACUAUAUUGUAGCAAAACUAGAAAUCAGUUAAAGUUUUUGUGUUGAGACAGUACUUGCUGAUUGAAUUCUCAUGGUGUAUGUGUUCUUUUUCUUUUUCUUUCUUUCUUUUUUUGAGCUGGAGUCUUGCUAUGUUGCCCAGGCUGAUCUCAAACUCCUGAACUCAGUCAAUGCUGCUUCAGCUUCCUGAGUAGCUUAUUACAGAACUCAAGAAGCACAGUUUGAAAACCACAGAAUGAGUGGAAUGCAAGCCUCUGCUUCUUCAGGUGAGGAUUCAGACCAGGAUACAGAACCAAUCAGAGGCCUGUCAGUCCAGAAGUCCUUCCAGAACACCAGCAGUCCUGCAUUCAUCCAUGUGCUGACCACAGUGCCCACUAGAGCUCCCCGUGCAGUCAGAGAUUCACUGAAGCCUCUGUCAGACGUCAUCAUGAAAUGUACCCUGAAAAGACUCUUGCACAGGACACCCUGCUGGCAACACGUGGGGUGAAGGGUGCAGAGGUUGCCUUCUCCAGGGAAUUAUAUUCUAAGAUGUACAUUUCCAUCUUGGCAAGCUCAGAGACAAACACCCAGGUACUGUGCUCUGAAGCAGUUGAAUUAGUAAACUAAGAGGAAUAACAUCUUGGGGAGCAUUAGUGCUGGUGCUCUUUGUGCAGUGGGACAUGGAAAGUGUGAGCGGCAGGACAGAUCCUCAGCAGGGUUGAGAAGGAGCUACCUGGACUUCUGCAUGUAUGGGAGUUUUAGUAACUUAAUAGCUCAGCUUUGCCUUGCGAAAAUUCUAUGUAUCUGCACCCAGAUCUUUCAGGUCUAGAAACAGAUAGAUAUAAAACAUACAAAGUAUAUAUGUACACAUUAUAUAUAUAUAUGUAUUAUAUAUAAAGUAUAUACACA
rnacentral:lncRNA from 1 species